AUUGUUUUGGCAGAUAAUUGCGUUAGAUUUAGGAUCUAUUUAUGAGGUUUUCAAACAAUA
rnacentral:tRNA from 1 species